GGGGUUGUAGCUCAGUGGUAGAGCACUUGCCUUACAUGUGUGAGGCCCUGGGUUCUAUCCUCAGCAACACAU
rfam:Ictidomys tridecemlineatus contig061457, whole genome shotgun sequence.